CUGAAUCAGCUCCGAUUCUGCAGAUCCUUCCCUGAGUCCUGCUGCCGAGCACCGAUACUUGUGCAUCCUCUGGGCCACAUCAGGACUGGAAAGAGGAGUAGAUAUCAGGCGGAAGGAUCUGGCCUUCUGCUGGUGACAGCCACCUGCAUGGCCUGUUCCUGCUUUCUCUUUUCCCCAGGUGGCAUUGUGCUUCCCAAGCAGUGCGUGGACCUUUCUGAUGGCAGUGAGCAGCAAGGAACCGACUGGGUCUCAGCUUCCUUCCUGCCCUGCGCCUGACUGAGGGACCCUGCGACCAGCUCAGGAGAUUCCUCAGGAGUGGUCCUGGGUCAUCUGGCUUCCACCAAGAGUGCUCCUCUUCUCUCCACAGAUCACAUCCCAGGUGCUGUCUGUCUGUCUGUCUGUGGUGGGUUCCAGAGCAAGGAGGCCUCUCCAUGCCAUCACUGCACAUUGAUUUCAGCCUGUGGCACCCACACUGGGACACAUGGAUGCUCCAGGAAACAGCUGUGAACCCUGGGGCUGGAAUAAAGACGCCAAAAACAAUGCAGAAAAGAAAA